UCUUGAGUUAGUUUGGUCCCUCAUUUCAGUCCACCUGUGUAGGUACGGACCAGAGGAAUCAGGGAAGUCAGCAGUGAGUACUGCACCUGCAGAGUUAGUUCAGAGUCUACCAAAGGUGAGUGGAACUUCUCUUUUCAGAACUAAACUGCUUUUAGCAUGCUUCAUGCAUCAUGAUGAUUAUAGUAGGUUGAUUGCACUAGUUUCACGAAUAUGGCGCAUUGCAUUGCAUACUACGAUGUAUAUGAUGAGAUGGAUGGACCAAGGUGACCCCAAUAGCCCUAGCUCUGUGUAAGACCUGGCCGGGCCAGGCAGCCUUCUGUAGGUAAGACCUGGCUAGGCCAGGCAGCAGAUUAUCGUAAGACCUGGCUAGGCCAGGCGAGCAGAGUUUGUAAGACCUGGCCGGGCCAGGCAAAUUGAGGUUGUCAG
rnacentral:lncRNA from 1 species